UGGUCGCCCGCGCCGGCCGCGACGCCUCGCGGGUGCUCAUCACCGUGCGGCACGCAGGUAGUGCUGGCCAGGUUGGAUGGACCAAAGAAUUUGAUAGCUGGAGAACUGCCAUUAGUGAACAUGACAAGAUGAUGCAACACUGGAAGAAAACAUGGGAGAGCUGCACCAAGAAAAACACCCUUUAAUGGACAAAGGAAUGAGCAGGCUGGGACAGGAACUGUAUGUGAGUUAAUUCAUAUUUCAUUUGAAGAGGUGUUUGCAAGUGCUUGUGCCGGCACUGGGUUUGAUAUUCAGGAGAAUUUGCUGAAUUGUGAAGAAACCGAAGUGCGAUUUCCUCCAUGAACCACUCAGUAAGUUACCUGCCACCGGAGAGACUGGUCCUGCGUUGGAACAGCUCUGUCCUGUCAUUUCAGUUCACUGAAGGGCACAGACGUCUUGUGCCAUUCAGCCAAUACAAUAAGUUCCAUGGUUUGCUUUGAGUUCAAAGAGCAAAGCAGUUCCUUUUUGGAAUUGAUGGUCUUGGCGUACAAAUUAGAGAUCAGUAAGAUUUGGAUUGCAUUUAUUUACAGGCACUUUCGCAGUCGUUUAUUUCAAUAUGGUUACCCUUAAGCCCUGUUCCUAAUGUUUUAAAAGAGCAAGCCUUUCUAGUGUCAGCAUGUUCACUUAAGAUUUAAUUUUGCUCCAAUAUCUUUGGUCACAGAAGUUUCUGUACCCAAUAAAUAAAUUCUGACUAAUCCUGACUAUUCUCAAAGUACAGGUAGUUUACAAAGUACUCAAGUUAAAGCAAAUGGUUUAUUUACUGCAAAUUAUUCUUCGAUAUGGUGGUGGGUUUAAGCACCUGUAUGUUCAAUGAAUUUUAAGACUAAAACUGUGUGGAAUUCACUUAUUCUAAGUGAACAACUGCAGACUGUAAAUGUGGGGACCCACUUCUUCCGCUGCAAUGCUGUUCAGUUUUGUU